GGCUGAACUCUGACCAGCCAAGAGAAAACCCCCCUCUCCGCCCCAAACAGCUCCCCACUCCCCCAGCCUGCCCCCACCCUCCCCACAUUCCAGUCUUUCACUGUCGCCCCAGGCAACUUGGCUGCCCAAGACCAAGCCCCACCAAGAAGCUGGAGGGCCAGGCAAGUCCAGGAUGGGCAAGCAGGGAAGCACGAGAGGGAGAAACAGAGAUAUUUUCUGAGCAUCUGUUUUGUGCUUAACACAGCACCACUACCUAAGGAAACCUGGAGAAAGUCGAAGAUAUGGUCCCUGGCAUUCAGAUGCUUAGUUUCUGUUGGGGAGAAAAGACUACACGGGCAAGACUGAGAGGGAAAUAAACAGGCAAUUUGAGAUAAUUCUAUGAAUAUAUUGAAGCUCCUUAUCAGUGUAAUUGUGGGGACUGGUCACCAGCUCUUGCUUGAGCUUUUCCAGAAGAAACUUCACUACUGAAAUAUUCCAAGAGGACUUGAUGCUGCCACAAAGAGAAGAGAAUGAAUAAAGUUGUCGGCUUUGUAAGAGCCAGACAAACAGAGAUACCCAGCACUAAUCAACUUUGUGGCAAAUCCCUCCACAGCCUAAGAAGGAUCCCUAGCAGCAAUCCUCAAGAGCCUCAGCAGAUUGGAGAGAUGCCUCUUUGAUUCCGUCCCAGAGCUAAAGAUUGGAACAACUGUCCCUCCCCCUCUAAACCCACAGUCUGCCACAAGAACAUUUUAAACCUUCCUCCAUGAUGGGCAGCAAAACUCCCUGACUAGUCCUCCAGAUCCUUCUCAAGCACAGAAUAGAGAGAGCAUGAUGGUGAGUGAGCAUACUGUCCUUCCUGCAGGUCUUCAGUUCCACCACACUCUCCUAAGGGAAGGAAGAAGCCAGGCCUCAAUGUUGUACCUCUCUCUGGAGGCAGCAGGCACAAGUGGAAUGGAAGUGAUGGAAAAUCCUGGUUUUAUGCAAAUUGUAACUAUAAACUCAUUAUAGUCAAUAUGAACAUUGUAUGGCUAAAGAAUGUCUCCAGCCAGGCAUGGUGGCUCACGCCUGUAAUCCCAACACUUUGGGAGGCCAAGGUGGGUGAAUUGCCUGAUCUCAGGAGUUCAAGACCAGUGUGGCCAACAUGGCGAAACCCCAUCUCUACU